rnacentral:lncRNA from 1 species
UUUUAUGACUUAAAAAAGCCCACAGGCUGGUCUGAAGAGGAAGACAAACAUAAAGAUGAAGUGCUUAAUUCAAGGUCACACAAUGUCGGGGAUGGACCUCCAGAUUUCCUUACUGACCUGCAUUAUCUUGUGGAUACCUGAGUGAAUUCCACACCACCCAUUUUAUAGAUGAAACCACUGAGACAUGGAGCAAUUGACUGAGUAGUCACUGCCCCACCCCUGCCUGGAGCCUCACACAUGACUCGCCUCCUCUCAGUGACCACAGGAAAACAAGCUCAGGGCUCCCACUGAUUGUACAUUAUGAGACGGAGUCUUGCUAUGUUGCCCAGGCUGGUCUUGAACUCCUCACCUCAAGCGAUCCUCCCGUCUUGGCCUCCCAAGUGUCAGGAUUACGGGCAUGUGCUAUCACACCCAACCUGAUACAUUGCCUUUAUAAAUUUUUUUUUCUUUAUUCUAAAAACCAGAAAAAACAAAACUGGAUACAUGUGCAGAACAUGCAGACCAAGUGUGUUGGGGACUUGAGAUGCGUACAUGAGUGUGAUGUUUCCUGCUGAAAGCACAGGUGAGACGUGGUCUUGUAACACAGUGGUUAAGAAUGUGACUUUGGAGCCAGCCUGCUAGGGGCUGAAUUCUGACUCAGCCAUUUACUAACUGUGUGACCUUAGGCUGGAGUGCAAUGGCAUGAUCUCGGCUCAUCACAACCUCUGCUUCCUGGGUUCAAGCGAUUCUCCUGCCUCAGCCUCCCGAGUACCUGGGACUACAGGCACUCGCCACCAUG